GGUGGCAGGGAAGUUCGACUCCACAAACCACAGGCCUCGGCGGGGGAAGAGCCCGGCGGGCGCCAGCGAAGCGGAACCAAACGGAGCGGCGGCACGCAGGCGCAAAGGCUGGCGUUCGAGGUUCGUUUACGCGCCGCUCCGCCGUGCAGGUGGUGGCGAAGCGCUCCUCCGAAAGGUUUCGGAAGCCGGUGGUAGCUCUGAAGAUAACGCUGCGUUAGGGCAUACUGCGGCGGAGGAUGGAACUCCGAUUGAAAGCAGUUGCUGGAGUGGAGCACGAAUUUCAAAAAGCUGCAUGUUGAAGUGUGAGGCGUGAAAGGAUAUGUCUGAUAUUUGCUUUAAAAUGCUCCAGCAAAGAAAUUAAGGGAUGGAUGAAGCAAAAGAGCCAGGUAUGGUGGCUCAUGCCUCUAAUCCCAGCACUUUGGGAGGCCGAAGCAGGCAGAUCACCUGAGGUCAGGAGUUUGAGACCAUCCUGACCAACAUGGUGAAACUCGUCUCUACUACAAACAUAAAAAAAUUAGCUGGGUGUGGUACCACACACCUGUAAUCCCAGCUACUCCUCUGGAGGCUCAGACAGGAGAACUGCUUGAACCGGGAGGCGGAGGUUGCAGUGAGCUGAGAUCGCACCACUCCAUUCCAGCCUGGGCAACAGAGUGAGACUCCAUCUCAUAUAAAAAAAAAAAAGUAAAGAAAAAAAAGAAAAUGUCUUUAUUUCAUUUUCUUUCCUAAAGAAUAUAUUUGCUGGAUAAAGGAUUCUGUGUUGACAGUUUUGUUGCUUUUUAAAAGCACUUUAUAAAUGUUGCUCCAUGGUUUCUGAUGAGAAAUCUGCCAUCACUGAAAU
rnacentral:antisense_RNA from 1 species